UUCUUGACAACCCGAUCGGACCUCAC
rnacentral:ncRNA from 3 species